GUCUCUAUGGCUCAGUCGGUAGAGCGUUGGUCUCAUAUUACUUCAUCAAUAUGACUCGGUUGCUCAGGAUCGGGAUAUCCAAAGGUCGCAAGUUCGAGCCUUGCUAGGGACA
rnacentral:tRNA from 1 species